ACCCGGUUAGCUCAUACGGUAAAGCAUCAGACUUUGAAUCUGAGGGUUCAGGGUUCAAGCCCCUGACUGGGCA
rnacentral:tRNA from 1 species